CGGGUGAGUAACACGUAUCCAACCUGCCGUCUACUCUUGGACAGCCUUCUGAAAGGAAGAUCAAUACAAGAUGGCAUCAUGAGUUCACAUGUUCACAUGAUUAAAGGUAUUCCGGUAGACGAUGGGGAUGCGUUCCAUUAGAUAGUAGGCGGGGUAACGGCCCACCUAGUCUUCGAUGGAUAGGGGUUCUGAGAGGAAGGUCCCCCACAUUGGAACUGAGACACGGUCCAA
rnacentral:rRNA from 1 species